rnacentral:rRNA from 1 species
CACGGACCAAGGAGUCUAACAUGUACGCGAGUCAUUGGGACUUGUCGCGAGACCUAAAGGCGUAAUGAAAGUGAAGGUCGGCCCUGGCCGUCGACCGAGGGAGGAUGGGCCGCGUCGCGAUGCGGCCUCGCACUCCCGGGGCGUCUCGUUCUCAUCGCGAGAAGAGGCGCACCCAGAGCGUACACGUUGGGACCCGAAAGAUGGUGAACUAUGCCUGGUCAGGACGAAGUCAGGGGAAACCCUGAUGGAGGUCCGUAGCGAUUCUGACGUGCAAAUCGAUCGUCGGAACUGGGUAUAGGGGCGAAAGACUAAUCGAACCAUCUAGUAGCUGGUUCCCUCCGAAGUUUCCCUCAGGAUAGCUGGCACUCGGCCGUUCCGCACGGAACGCGCGCGAGUCUCAUCUGGUAAAGCGAAUGAUUAGAGGCCUUGGGGCCGAAACGACCUCAACCUAUUCUCAAACUUUAAAUGGGUGAGAUCUCUGGCUUUCUUGAAUUAUGAAGCCACGAGCAUCUCCGGAUCAGAGUGCCAAGUGGGCCAUUUUUGGUAAGCAGA